rnacentral:rRNA from 1 species
CGAGAAUAAUUCACAAUGGGGGAAACCCUGAUGGUGCAACGCCGCGUGGAGGAUGAAGGUCUUCGGAUUGUAAACUCCUGUCAUCUGGGAGUAAGACCUGGGCGUGAAUAGCGCACAGGGUUGAUAGUACCAGAAGAGGAAGGGACGGCUAACUUCGUGCCAGCAGCCGCGGUAAUACGAAGGGGGCUAGCGUUGUUCGGAAUUACUGGGCGUAAAGCGCGCGUAGGCGGUGAUCCAUGUCAGAGGUGAAAGCCUGGGGCUCAACUCCAGAAUUGCCUUUGAAACGGGAUCGCUAGAGUCCGAGAGAGGAUGGCGGAAUUCCUAGUGUAGAGGUGAAAUUCGUAGAUAUUAGGAAGAACACCGGUGGCGAAGGCGGCCAUCUGGCUCGGUACUGACGCUCAGGCGCGAAAGCGUGGGGAGCAAA